rnacentral:rRNA from 2 species
GGACGCAAGUCUGAUGGAGCAACGUCGCGUGAGUGAAGAAGGCUUUCGGGUCGUAAAACUCUGUUGUUGGAGAAGAAUGGUCGGCAGAGUAACUGUUGUCGGCGUGACGGUAUCCAACCAGAAAGCCACGGCUAACUACGUGCCAGCAGCCGCGGUAAUACGUAGGUGGCAAGCGUUAUCCGGAUUUAUUGGGCGUAAAGCGAGCGCAGGCGGUUUUUUAAAUCUGAUGUGAAAGCCCUCGGCCUAACCGAGGAAGUGCAUCGGAAACUGGGAAACUUGAGUGCAGAAGAGGACAGUGGAACUCCAUGUGUAGCGGUGAAAUGCGUAGAUAUAUGGAAGAACACCAGUGGCGAAGGCGGCUGUCUGGUCUGUAACUGACGCUGAGGCUCGAAAGCAUGGGUAGCGAACAGGAUUAGAUACCCUGGUAGUCCAUGCCGUAAACGAUGAAUGCUAGGUGUUGGAGGGUUUCCGCCCUUCAGUGCCGCAGCUAACGCAUUAAGCAUUCCGCCUGGGGAGUACGACCGCAAGGUUGAAACUCAAAGGAAUUGACGGGGGCCCGCACAAGCGGUGGAGCAUGUGGCUUAAUUCGAAGCAACGCGAAGAACCUUACCAGGUCUUGACAUCUUUUGAUCACCUGAGAGAUCAGGUUUCCCCUUCGGG